UGUAGGAACACUCAGAUUACACGAGUGAGUUGGGUUUGAUUGGUUUGCUAUUUUUGAGGUUUUAGUGAUGUUGUUUGAAUACUGUGAAUCAAAUAUAAUGAUCAUUGCGUUUACGAACAUACUGUGAAUCAAAUAUAAAGAUCAUUUCCAGUGUAUUUUGUAUUAAUCUCAUACUCUGCCUCUUAUUUGAUUGUGCCUUCUAUUUUAUUCUUAUUCUGCCUAUGUGAUUGUUAACCCGUCUCUGUGAUAGUAUCCCCCCACAUUAGGAUUAGCCUGAUAGUAACAAGAGCGUUCGGUGAAAUUACCAAUCCUUUACCAACUUGCUAAUGCCUCAUUCCAACUGAUCAGUCUCCAUGCAACCAAAAUUCUAGUUUAGUUAUAUAUGAUUUGUAUCCUUUUUCCCCAAGGAAUAUUAAGAAAAGUUACAUCUAUGAGUUUAUCCACAUAAGAAAAGUUUGUCUCUGGUGCUGUAUGAAAGUUCAGUGUUUUAAUUUGAUGGACUAUGGUAUUGGUUUUUAAUAGCUUUAGAAACUCAAAAGAUAAAUCACUUCUCUAAACUAAUAUGUUCUCAUUGAGCUUCAAUUUUUCUGUGGAGUGAAACUUUUUCGGUGCUUGGUUUCUUUAGAGCAUAAUUUCAUUCCCUAUUAUUGCUGCCAAUAUAUUAGGUUUGACUAUUAACAAUGCAUGUUGCUAUAUUCAGCUAUCUUUAUAUUCAUCAAUAUGCAUAAAAGAAUUUCUCAUGAAAAUCAUCUUCAUAUCUCUGUAACAGAACUCUGAAAUGGGAUCCUUACAUUAGUUCUAAUUUCAAUGUCUUUUCAAUAUAGAUUAUUUGUUAAGCUGUAUUUUUCAAAGUUUCUAAUCAUAUACUUGGAAUUCUGUAAUUGCACGUAGAAAUGCUUUGUGGGAGAUUGGGCAUACUGAUCCUAUACUGGUUUGAGAAAGCUAAUUAACCAUCAAAAGUGGAGGCAGUCAUAUAUCUUUCUUGCAUCUUUGGUUCUCGGAUUUGCCUGUGUAAUUCAUCAAAUGCAAGAGGCCUCCAAGUACUAGGCCCUUCACUGUCAUCAAAAACAGGAAGUCUUUGUUUGAACAUUUAGAAGCACAUUACUAAUACAAAAUGCACAGUAUUAGUGUGUCACCUAUGAAGCCAGAUUCCUCUGCUUCAACAAUUCUGUAGACAUGAGCUGGUAAGAAGGAAAUUAAUUGUCAUUUGAUAAAGAGUGAAAGCAUUUCUUGCUUGAGCAUUUAAUUGAAGAAAGGAACCAAGUAUAUUCUUUAGAAAACAAGUUUAUCUCCAAAUUCAAGUAGGCAUAGAGAGAUAUAACACACAUUUUCAGAAAUGCUUUGUGGGAGAUUGGGCAUGCUGGUGCUAUGUGGUUUUGAGAAAGCUAACUAACCAUCAAAAGAGGAGGCAAUCAUUUCUUUCUUGCGUCUUUGGUUCUCGGAUUUGCCUGUGUAACUCAUCAAGUGCAAGAGGCCUCCAAGUACAAGGCCCUUCACUGUCAUGAAAAACAGGAAGUCUUUGUUUGAAGAUUUAGAAGCACAUUGCUAAUACAAGUGUUAAGAAGCUUCACAUCUCAGGCAUUGACAACUUCCAGAUUGCACAGUAUUAGUUGUGUCACCUAUGAAGCCAAAUUCCUCUGCUUCCACAAUUCUGAGCCUGAACGUGGUCUUCGCAUCGUCAAGCUAACCCAUGUGGAUGUUCUGAAGAAGACAGUGGCAGUCCAUCACAUCCAACAGCAAAUGAAGCUUCCACUAACACAAAAGAGAACUUCCAAGUAGAUGAACUAAUGGAUGACACGUACUGAUGAAGAUCUCAUGUAAUGAUUGGUUCGAACUUCGAAUGUAGAACAUUUUGCUAAGCACUAACCAUAUUUGUCAGUUGUAUAUAAACAUCUUGGGU
rnacentral:lncRNA from 1 species